UCACUUUCCCAGUGACAUCACAAAUGGCUCCUUCACCUAGUUACAGCCAAUCUGCUUUGCUCCUUUUCUUUUCCUUUGUUAUAGGCCUGAAAGGGGUAUCUGUUUGUUUGUUUAGUUUGAACACCUCAGUUAUGUUAUGCUGGAUAAUGAAGAAUGUGUGCACCCAUUUUGAUCCAGAUCUAUCAAGCCAUGUGGUACAAACCAAUAACCAUGCAUACAUGCUAUGACUUUUUAUAUCUAGAUUUUAACUACGUUGUCCUCUGUCUCAAGACUUGAAAAGAGAUGGAAAUUCAAGCUUGUCACCCAAGACCUCUCCAAGUGACUGCCCUGUUAUUCUGGAACUCCCUGCCCAGGGAAGUCAGAAUUGCUUCUUCCCUGCCACCCUCUUCAUGGUGUGUCUGCAAGAGGAAGAAAGACGGAGCGAUCAGGUAGGGGAGAAGAAAGAAACUGAGACUCUGGCCCAUGAAUAAAAAUGAGGAAAGGGGAUUAUAUGGUUUCAUAAAAGUGGAACGGAAAAGUUCAGUGCGAGAUUUUACAGAAGAGGGGAAUAAAUUACACUUUUACUAAAAAAAGAAAAAAGUUUUAAAUGGUCUACAGUGACUUGUUGAAUCUGCAGAUGCUCAGAGUUCCUUGGAAUGUGUUCGAAAAGAGUCAAACAUUGCAGAAGGAUUGUGGGACUCUAAAAUCAGAAUAAACUAUACUGGAUUGUUACAUUACUUUUAAGACAUGAAAAAGUGACUACAAAAGUGAGUUUUGUGUAGAGAUUGGGAUAAGAUAAUAAUUCAUUAACUAAGUCACCGCUUCAUCACAUUAGGCAGGGAAGUGUGUCGCAGAAAAGAGCUCAGUCUUACUCGGUUUUUUUUUAUAUAUAAUGAAAGGGAUGUCUUCUCAACAUUCUAUCACACUGUUAAAUGUCUCAGUUUCCUUUCCAUAUUAUUUCACUACAGUUUCCUUCACACUGCAGAGAUUUGACCCCACUCACCAUUCUUCUCCCAGCUCAUUGUUGGAAAAAAAAAACCCUCCUCUCUUUGAAAUCCCUACUAACACGAGAUCACAUAGGCGAGAUCUGAGAAGUUCUGAGCAUGCUCAGUCUGUACAAACACUACAUGCUGCCAAAGGAAGGAACAUGAGAACAAUGCAUGCCAUCACACUACACAUUUGGCAAACCAUCUGUAUCAUUGAGAGAAAUCCACUUCCACACCACAUCCUGAAACGUUGGAAAAGAAUGCUGGCACCCACACUUAAAAAUAUGCAAAGGAUGCUGUACCCUACACUUGAACUGAAACUAAUGUGAUAAACAUCAUGAGCAACCGAAUUUUAAAUGUAGGAUUCCUUGGAAUUUAAUUAAUGUGAUGAAGUAGUCAGUAUUGAUGGUUUCUCUGUCUCCCAGUGCAAAGGAUUCUUCUUCCU